AGAGUGAACGCUGGCGGUAGGCCUAACACAUGCAAGUCGAACGGCAGCACAGUGGUAGCAAUACCAUGGGUGGCGAGUGGCGGACGGGUGAGGAAUACAUCGGAAUCUACCUUUUUCGUGGGGGAUAACGUAGGGAAACUUACGCUAAUACCGCAUACGCCCUUCGGGGGAAAGCCGGGGAUCGCAAGACCUGGCGCGGAUAGAUGAGCCGAUGUCGGAUUAGCUAGUUGGUGAGGUAAUGGCUCACCAAGGCGACGAUCCGUAGCUGGUCUGAGAGGAUGAUCAGCCCACACUGGAACUGGAGACGACGGU
rnacentral:rRNA from 1 species